rnacentral:rRNA from 1 species
GACGAACGCUGGCGGCGCGCCUAACACAUGCCAGUCGAACGAGCGAGAGAGAGCUUGCUUUCUCAAGCGAGUGGCGAACGGGUGAGUAACGCGUGAGGAACCUGCCUCAAAGAGGGGGACAACAGUUGGAAACGACUGCUAAUACCGCAUAAGCCCACAGGUCGGCAUCGACCAGAGGGAAAAGGAGCAAUCCGCUUUGAGAUGGCCUCGCGUCCGAUUAGCUAGUUGGUGAGGUAACGGCCCACCAAGGCAACGAUCGGUAGCCGGACUGAGAGGUUGAACGGCCACAUUGGGACUGAGACACGGCCCAGACUCCUACGGGAGGCAGCAGUGGGGAAUAUUGCACAAUGGGGGAAACCCUGAUGCAGCGACGCCGCGUGGAGGAAGAAGGUCUUCGGAUUGUAAACUCCUGUUGUUGAGGAAGAUAAUGACGGUACUCAACAAGGAAGUGACGGCUAACUACGUG